rnacentral:rRNA from 1 species
GAGUCAUUGGGACUAUGUACGAAACCUAAAGGCGCAAUGAAAGUAAAGGUCCGCCUCGCGCGGACCGAGGGAGGAUGGGCCCGUCUACGGGCGGGCCCCGCACUCCCGGGGCGCCUCGUUCUCAUCGCGAGAAGAGGCGCACCCAGAGCGUACACGCUGGGACCCGAAAGAUGGUGAACUAUGCCUGGUCAGGACGAAGUCAGGGGAAACCCUGAUGGAGGUCCGUAGCGAUUCUGACGUGCAAAUCGAUCGUCGGAACUGGGUAUAGGGGCGAAAGACUAAUCGAACCUUCUAGUAGCUGGUUCCCUCCGAAGUUUCCCUCAGGAUAGCUGGCGCUCGCCUUUGCGAGUCUCAUUCGGUAAAGCGAAUGAUUAGAGGCAUUGGGGUCGAAACGGCCUCAACCUAUUCUCAAACUUUAAAUGGGUGAGAUCUCCGGCUUGCUUGAAGCGUGAAGCCGCGAGAGAUCGGAUCACAGAGUGCCAAGUGGGCCACUUUUGGUAAGCAGAACUGGCGCUGUGGGAUGAACCAAACGCCGAGUUAAAGCGCCCAAAUCGACGCUUAUGGGAUACCAUGAAAGGCGUUGGUAACUUAA